CCCUUAGGUGUUCUGGGCCGCACGCGUGCUACACUGAGUGGAUCAGCGGGUCAGGUUGCGCGAAAGCGUUUCCUAAUCUUGAAAUCCGCUCGUGAUGGGGAUUGACGGUUGCAAUUUUCUGUCAUGAACGAGGAAUACCUUGUAAGCGCGGGUCAUCAUCCCGCGCUGAAUACGUCCCUGCCCUUUGUACACACCGCCCGUCGCUCCUACCGAUUGAGUGGUCCGGUGAGGCUUUGGGAUCUGAGCGGAAAGAGCGUUUCGCUCGUUCUGCCCGGAAAACUCAGUCGAACCUUAUCAUUUAGAGGAAGGAGAAGUCGUAACA
rnacentral:rRNA from 1 species